AGGGUUUGUGGUAGUCCUUCCAACAGUGAGCUUCUGGUUGGAUUUCUUGCCCUAUGUGUCAAGCUGAUAUUGCUGCAUCAGUAGGCUAUGUUAAACCAUUUAUGUUAACCUGAUAUGCUGUAUCUGUACAGGGAAAAAGUUGAACAUUAGGUUCACAACCAGGGCUAAACUUAACAGAUAUCUUGAUGAGGGUGACAUCACACCACGGCAGGUGGAUUCAUUCCAUGAAGAUGUGUUUCCUAACAAGUGCUGUGGGCUAUGCACUUAAGAAGCUGCCCAUGGAAGAGCCACUGAUCAAACACGCAUAAUUUGCAGAUGUGCGGCAGAGGGCUGAAAGUGGCAUUGAAGAUGUCCUGUACUUUGUUGAAAGGUUUCCCCAUCUCCUCCCAUACCAUGGGCCAGAGGAGCAUGACCACCUGGGUGAGGAGUUUCUGAAUUAUCGGACCAUGCCAACAACCUCCCUUCAGGACGAAACUGAGAUGGAAAGCUUCUGGGCUGGAAUGGCAACACGGAAACAUAAGGUGACAGGAGCCAAAGAAUUUGAGAGGCUUGCUGCCGUCGCCAAGCUGGUUCUGGUGUUGCCCCAUUCGAAUGCAGAUGCUGAGAGGGUGUUUUCAGUUGUGGGACUGAACAAAACUAAGACCAGAAAUAGCCUGGCAUUGGAUGGCACCCUGUCCUCAAUAAUGGCCAUAAAGAUGGCCGACCUGGAGCCCUGUUUCAGAUGGGAGCCCCCCUCAGAGGUCAUCAGGGCCUCCAAGAAGGCCACAGGCCAGUACAACCUUGCCCACAGAUCUUAGAAAAUGACUAACCAGCUUCUGAUCUGCAUCUGAUACCUCAUUUUUAGUUAUUUUUGUCAUGUGUUGAUCCAUUGUAUUGCUUAAAAAGGCUACUGUAUAAGCACUUUAUUUGUUGCUCUUUUUUGUUUGAUGGAACGUGUGGUUGGAGGCUUUGAAUAAUGAAAAAUAUUUCUCCCUAACUAAUGUUGUGUAAUUUUUUGCUGAACAUAAAUCAUUAAGUGCUC
ensembl:lncRNA